rnacentral:rRNA from 1 species
GUCCUUUUGAAAUUAAUUUAAGGUUUAACCUGCCCACUGAUUUAUUGAAGGGCCGCAGUAUUUUGACUGUGCAAAGGUAGCAUAAUCAUUAGUUUUUUAAUUUAAAGCUUGUAUGAAGGGUUGGACGAGGUAAAUUCUGUCUCUGAGUAAUUAAUUGUAGAAUUUAAUUUUUAAGUUAAAAAGCUUAAAUUUAUUUAAAAGACGAGAAGACCCUAUAGAUCUUUAUAUUAUAUUUAUUAAUUAUAUAUAAGAUUUUUAAAUUAAUUAAUAGGUUUAGUAUUUUAUUGGGGUAAUAAAGAGAUUUAAUUAAUUCUUUUUUUAUUUUAACAUUAAUAAAUGAAUUUAUGAUCCAGUAUUAUUGAUUAAAAGAUUAAGUUACCUUAGGGAUAACAGCGUAAUUUUUUUAGAGAGUUCAUAUCGAUAAAAAAGAUUGCGACCUCGAUGUUGGAUUAAAAAUUAUUUUAGGUGUAGAAGCUUGAAAUUUUGGUCUGUUCGACCAUUAAAUUUUU